rnacentral:rRNA from 1 species
CUACGGGAGGCUCCAGUGAGGAAUAUUGCACAAUGGGGGGAACCCUGAUGCAGCAACGCCGCGUGGAGGAUGACGCAUUUCGGUGUGUAAACUCCUUUUAUAUGUCAAGAAAAUGACGGUAGCAUAUGAAUAAGCGCCGGCUAACUCCGUGCCAGCAGCCGCGGUAAUACGGAGGGCGCAAGCGUUACUCGGAACCACUGGGCGUAAAGGACGCGUAGGCGGGUUGAAAAGUCAGGUGUGAAAGCCUACAGCUUAACUGUAGAACUGCACUUGAAACUCUCAAUCUAGAGUAUGGGAGGGGCAGAUGGAAUUAGUGGUGUAGGGGUAAAAUCCGUAGAUAUCACUAGGAAUACCUAAAGCGAAGGCGAUCUCCUGGAACAUUACUGACGCUAAGGCGUGAAAGCGUGGGGAGCAAACAGGAUUAGAUACCCCAGUAGUC